AUUGAACGCUGGCGGCAGGCCUAACACAUGCAAGUCGAGCGAAUGACGGGAGCUUGCUCCUUGAUUCAGCGGCGGACGGGUGAGUAAUGCCUAGGAAUCUGCCUGGUAGUGGGGGACAACGUUUCGAAAGGAACGCUAAUACCGCAUACGUCCUACGGGAGAAAGCAGGGGACCUUCGGGCCUUGUGCUAUCAGAUGCGCCUCGGUCGGAUUAGCUAGUUGGUGGGGUAAAGGCUCACCAAGGCGACGAUCCGUAACUGGUCUGAGAGGAUGAUCAGUCACACUGGAACUGAGACACGGUCCAGACUCCUACGGGAGGCAGCAGUGGGGAAUAUUGGACAAUGGGCGAAAGCCUGAUCCAGCCAUGCCGCGUGUGUGAAGAAGGUCUUCGGAUUGUAAAGCACUUUAAGUUGGGAGGAAGGGCAGUAAGUUAAUACCUUGCUGUUUUGACGUUACCGACAGAAUAAGCACCGGCUAACUCUGUGCCAGCCGCCGCCGUAA
rnacentral:rRNA from 1 species